GUCUUCCCUGGUACUUUAAGUAUCCUAAAGGGUUGUCGGAGACUACGACGUUGAUAGGUCAGGUGUGUAAGUGCUGUGAGGCAUUGAGCUAACUGAUACUAAUUGCCCGUGAGGCUUAACCAUACAACACCCAAGGGGUUU
rnacentral:rRNA from 1 species